GGGUAACAUGACUUGUGGGUAAAGAUGCGCAACCUCUGCAGAGUGUAAAACUGGUAUACUAGCCGUGCUCACGGUCAUGAGCAGCUCGGACCCUCACAUGAUUAAAUUAUGGAACUAAAUUCAAUUUGUCAUAUGCAUUGCAUCGCAGGUGAUGUUGUUACUUUUGUUCUACUAUUUAAUUGGGUUGGUAUUUACUUAUACUUAGUAAUUGCUAAUAAAAUUUUGACCAACUUUAAAAGCAAUGCUCAGCUCUAACCAUCCUCUUUGGUAAGCCUUACACUUCACGUGAGCUCCCACCUUUGGCGAGUUCAUGCACAUUAUUCCCCACAACUUGUUGAGCGAUGAACGUAUGUGAGCUCACUCUUGCUGUCUCACACCCCCCCACAGGUCAAGAACAGGUACCACAGGAUGAGGCGCAUGGAGGAUGCUGCGAUGUGUUCGUGAGAGGUCUAGGUCGUCGUCUCCCAGUCAACUUUGGGUUGCUGGACCGUUGUCUCCUUAUAAUGUAAUUAUUUAUUUAUUUUGUAUAGAACUCCUGUUAUAUAGUAAAGAUGUGACAUUCG
rnacentral:lncRNA from 7 species